GUGACCGGAAGGUUCAUUUAAGGGCUGGCUUCCAUAAGGAAAGGUUCCCUACCUGGGGUUUCUUCCUUUUGGAGUGUUUAGUGAGGCCCUGAUCCUUAGGAUAGCACAUUAACUCAAGAAGCACCAAAGAGCAAAAAUCUUACUGGAGAAGGAUAAUUGCAACGACUCUCCAAGGGCUCGCUGUUCUUCCACCCCAUCAGUAGAUGCAGUGCUGAGGAGAUAAGGAGUUUCGUCUUCACGGACCCUGAGGACUUCCGUGUGUUUCUUCAGCAUUUCUAACCAUCUCAUGGCUUGAGCGGGGAUGGAGGCCCACUCAGGGCUGUUGCUCUGGAGAACAAAGCCAAAGCCUGGGGAGAAGGGGAGGUGGUCUGCAUACAAAGACACUGUUUCUUCCCCUGUAAUUGUGAGUGCAACUAGCAAAAGAGAAUGCCAGGCACAAAG
ensembl:lncRNA